CCUACGGGAGGCAGCAGUGAGGAAUAUUGGUCAAUGGACGAGAGUCUGAACCAGCCAAGUAGCGUGAAGGAUGACUGCCCUAUGGGUUGUAAACUUCUUUUAUAUGGGAAUAAAAUGUUCCACGUGUGGGAUUUUGUAUGUACCAUAUGAAUAAGGAUCGGCUAACUCCGUGCCAGCAGCCGCGGUAAUACGGAGGAUCCGAGCGUUAUCCGGAUUUAUUGGGUUUAAAGGGAGCGUAGGUGGAUUUUUAAGUCAGUUGUGAAAGUUUGCGGCUCAACCGUAAAAUUGCAGUUGAAACUGGCAGUCUUGAGUACAGUAGAGGUGGGCGGAAUUCGUGGUGUAGCGGUGAAAUGCUUAGAUAUCACGAAGAACUCCGAUUGCGAAGGCAGUUCACUGGACUGCAACUGACACUGAGGCUCGAAAGUGUGGGUAUCAAACAGGAUUAGAUACCCCAGUAGUC
rnacentral:rRNA from 1 species